rnacentral:rRNA from 1 species
UACGUAGGGUGCGAGCGUUGUCCGGAAUUACUGGGCGUAAAGAGCUUGUAGGUGGUUUGUCGCGUUGUUCGUGAAAUCUCACGGCUUAACUGUGAGCGUGCAGGCGAUACGGGCAGACUGGAGUACUGCAGGGGAGACUGGAAUUCCUGGUGUAGCGGUGGAAUGCGCAGAUAUCAGGAGGAACACCGGUGGCGAAGGCGGGUCUCUGGGCAGUAACUGACGCUGAGAAGCGAAAGCGUGGGGAGCGAACAGG